UAACAACAGGUCUCAGCGCCCCCUGUGGUGAAUCAGUGUAAUAACAGGCCUCAGCGCCCCCUGUGGUGAAUCAGUGUAAUAACAGGCCUCAGCGCCCCCUGUGGUGAAUCAGUGUAAUAACAGGCCUCAGCGCCCCCUGUGGUGAAUCAGUGUAAUAACAGGCCUCAGCGCCCCCUGUGGUGAAUCAGUGUAAUAACAGGCAUCAGCGCCCCCUGUGGUGAAUCAGUGUAAUAACAGGCCUCAGCGCCCCCUGUGGUGAAUCAGUGUAAUAACAGGCCUCAGCGCCCCCUGUGGUGAAUCAGUGUAAUAACAGGCCUCAGCGCCCCCUGUGAUGAAUCGGUGUAACAACAGGCCUCAGCGCCCCCUGUGGUGAAUCAGUGUAAUAACAAGCCUCAGCGCCCCCUGUGGUGAAUCGGUGUAACAACAGGCCUCAGCGCCCCCUGUGGUGAAUCAGUGUAAUGACAGGCCUCAGCGCCCCCUGUGGUGAAUCGGUGUAACAACAGGCCUCAGUGCCCCCUGUGGUGAAUCAGUGUAAUAACAGG